rnacentral:rRNA from 1 species
UACGGAGGGUGCAAGCGUUAAUCGGAAUUACUGGGCGUAAAGCGCACGCAGGUGGCUGAGUCAGUCGAUUGUGAAAUCCCCGGGCUUAACCUGGGAACUGCGUUUGAAACUGGGAGGCUGGAGUGCGGCAGAGGGGGGUGGAAUUCCACGUGUAGCAGUGAAAUGCGUAGAUAUGUGGAGGAACACCGAUGGCGAAGGCAGCCCCCUGGGCCUGCACUGACGCUCAUGCACGAAAGCGUGGGGAGCAAACAGG